rnacentral:rRNA from 1 species
CCUACGGGAGGCAGCAGUGAGGAAUAUUGGUCAAUGGCCGUAAGGCUGAACCAGCCAAGUCGCGUGAGGGAAUACUGCCCUAUGGGUUGUAAACCUCUUUUAUCCGGGGAUAAAGGCGUCCACGUGUGGCUGUUUGCAGGUAACGCAUGAAUAAGGACUGGCUAAUUCCGUGCCAGCAGCCGCGGUAAUACGGAGGGUCCGGGCGUUAUCCGGAUUUAUUGGGUUUAAAGGGUGCGUAGGCCGGUCUUUAAGCGUGCCGUGAAAUUUUGUGGCUCAACCCUCAGAGUGCGGCUCGAACUGGGGACCUUGAGUGCGCGGAAGGCAGGCGGAAUUCGUGGGGGAGCGGUGAAAUGCUUAGAUAUCACGAAGAACCCCGAUUGCGAAGGCAGCCUGCCGCAGCGUUACUGACGCUGAAGCUCGAAAGCGCGGGUAUCGAACAGGAUUAGAUACCCGAGUAGUC